UGACGGAGUGAGUACAAUUAGGCCUGGCAAAAGUCGACCCAACCUGACAACCCGACCCGAACCCGACCUGAAAUUAGCGGGUUUGGGUUGAGAUUUUCAACCCGAUUAGUUAAAUGGGUCGACCUGAACCCGACCUGAAAGUUAAAUGGGUCAGGUUCAGGUUGAAUUUUCUGACCUGAAAAUGACCCACAUGACCUGAUUUGUAAAUGGGUCAAAAUCAGGUCGGGUCAACCCGUUAUAACCUGACCCGAAUAAUUGAACUAAAAAACAAAAAAUUGUUUUGAACGGUUGAUAUUUUUCCAGCCAAAAACUUUGGGCCCAAAAAACAAAAUGAGGCUAAACUUUCAAUGACUCCUCUCCUCACAAUCUUUCACUCUAACCCUAAAAUUUCUAAAAUUAUAACGCCUCACACACUCUCUCUCUUUAUCUCUCUCUCUCUCUCUCUCUCUUUUUCUCUCUCUCACUUUCAGUCACUCCUCUUCUUCUUCGUUGCCGGCGCCGGCGCUUCGCUGCUCGCUGCUCCGUCUUCUUCGCCCCUCGCUGCUCCGUCUUCUUCGUUCGUUGCUGCUCGAAUCACUCACAUCAGAUCCAGAUGACUUGGAAGUAAACCAAGAGAUUGAUGCAACUGAAACAAGACUUUUUCGAAAUGAUGAAGCAGUUGUUUGGGAUUAAAUUGUUUGGGAUUAUUUGUAUUCUUUUAGACAAUUUUGUUUGGGAUUAAUUUGUUGUUUUGCUUUAGAAUUUUAAGAUGCACUUGUUUGAAAAGUCAGGUUAAAUAAACAAAAUCAGGUUGACCCAUCUCUGAAUAUAACAACCUGAUUUACACCCAAAAUAAAAGUUUCAGGUCAAAUAAGGUCAUAUUCGGGUUGACCCGAACCCGAAAGUAUCAGGUUCAGGUUGGGUUUUUCAACCUGAAAUCUUAAAUGGGUCAGGUUCGGGUUGGGGGGUGGCUGACCCGAAAUCAGCUGACCCGAACACGAACCUGACCCGACCUGAUCUGUUUGACAGCCCUAAGUACAAUGUUGUGCGCUUUUGUUUUACUGUGUUUUUCUAAUGCUUGUGAUUUUGUGGCAGUAAUCGAGCAAUGCUUUUGCUAAUUUAUUAUGUUAAUGGAUAUACAUUGGUUAGUGUUUCAUUUGAGAGCACUUAAUUUUGAUUUAUAUGUUGCUUUGCCAUGUCAAUGCAUUGUUAUGUACCCUAACUUAGCUUUAUAGAGUUAUUGGAUAUUAGAAUUAGAUUGUUGGAAUUCGCUGUGUUUGUUAGAUGAUCCCUUUCAUUUUCUUUCUCCUCUCCUCUUCCGUUUCGACCAGCCCCUUUCUGUAAACUUCAUAAAAACACCAACGCCAACUCAAGUUGCUAGCCACGCUCAGAAGUAUUAUCUUCAAAGGAGUAAUCUCAAUUAUCAUAGAUCUAGCCUUUUUUAUAUCACUACUGAUUAAUUAGGUAUGAUCUUAUUCAAUCAGCUUUGAAAUCAAAAUAAAAAAUAUGAGAAAUUGAAGUAUUAUUCAGAUUUCUGAUAUAUUUUUUUUUGGCUAUAAAGGUUGCUGCAAGUCAUCGAAUAAUCUACACAUCAAUAACAAUGGAAUUGGGUUUUUGAUUGAUUAAUGUAAUUAGUUGAAUUAGAGAGUGAUAAGACAGUGACUUAUUAUGUGUUUGAGUGUUCUGUUUUUUUUUUCCUUUGAUUUUUGACAUUUUAAUUGGAGUACAUAUGAAGUGUCCUGAGAUUCGCCCUGAAGAUGUCGUUUUGAGUUUCUCUGUUCAAUGUCAUCGUCAUUUUGGCUUGAGAGAGAAGAACCUCUGUCGAUUAUUUGCCCUAAAGAUUUGUCCGAGGUUUUUAUUCGACCUUCGGCAUGUAAGAUUUGAUUCAUUUGAGAGACGGGUGAGGAUGAUAGCAGCAUCAACAACAGAAGCAAUGACAACGACAACAACAACAUCAGAGAUAGGAUGCACACAGAGAGUUAUUAUCCAAAGUACGCACCUCUUCUUCACAUUAUAUGAUUCAGUGCCAUGCAAGUACUCAUAUCUCCAGUCAGCAUAAAAGGAAGUCAGAAGUCUGUCGGUAUAUGCUGUGAUUGAUAAGCUCUUCCUCACAAGGGCAAAGGAUUUCAAUGUCAUCAUGGAUUGAUUCUAAUGGAUUCCUUUCCAGUGGUGGAAAGUCAGCAUGAUGCAGAAAACAGGGAAAAAGUGCGAGGUUUGCUGAUAUUACAGGUUGUGAACAAAAAAUGAAGAUGCUAUCGAUUAUUAGGGCGAGGAAUUUGAGGGCCGGAGCGCAAGACUAUUGAGGGAAGAGAAAGUUGGUGAAGUUGGGCUCCAAAGCCAUCCAUUGUGCUGCUAAGAGCAAGCUGACUGUCCUCUCAUUGCCUGGUGGUCAGAAAUCGAAUCAAGAAUUUUCAUACAAAUUCUCCAUGGAAAGCUAGACUUCGAAUCUGAACCAUGGCCAAAUAUUUCAGAUACUGCAAAGGAUUUGAUCCGUAAAAUUCUUCAAAGAGACCCAAAGACGCGCAUAACAGCUUAUGAAGCUCUCUGUCACCCAUGGAUUGUGGAUGACACCAUUGCACCUGAUAAACCACUGGACUUUGCCGUUUUAUCACGUUCGAAACAUUUUUCAGCUAUGAACAAAGUUAAAAAGAUGGCUUUACAUGUAUGUUUA